CCUAAAGAGUAACGGAGGAGCACGAAGGUUGGCUAAUCCUGGUCGGACAUCAGGAGGUUAGUGCAAUGGCAUAAGCCAGCUUGACUGCGAGCGUGACGGCGCGAGCAGGUGCGAAAGCAGGUCAUAGUGAUCCGGUGGUUCUGAAUGGAAGGGCCAUCGCUCAACGGAUAAAAGGUACUCCGGGGAUAACAGGCUGAUACCGCCCAAGAGUUCAUAUCGACGGCGGUGUUUGGCACCUCGAUGUCGGCUCAUCACAUCCUGGGGCUGAAGUAGGUCCCAAGGGUAUGGCUGUUCGCCAUUUAAAGUGGUACGCGAGCUGGGUUUAGAACGUCGUGAGACAGUUCGGUCCCUAUCUGCCGUGGGCGCUGGAGAACUGAGGGGGGCUGCUCCUAGUACGAGAGGACCGGAGUGGACGCAUCACUGGUGUUCGGGUUGUCAUGCCAAUGGCACUGCCCGGUAGCUAAAUGCGGAAGAGAUAAGUGCUGAAAGCAUCUAAGCACGAAACUUGCC
rnacentral:rRNA from 1 species